GUAGGUGGCAAGCGUUGUCCGGAAUUAUUGGGCGUAAAGCGCGCGCAGGCGGUCCUUUAAGUCUGAUGUGAAAGCCCACGGCUCAACCGUGGAGGGUCAUUGGAAACUGGGGGACUUGAGUACAGAAGAGGAAAGCGGAAUUCCAAGUGUAGCGGUGAAAUGCGUAGAGAUUUGGAGGAACACCAGUGGCGGAGGCGGCUUUCUGGUCUGUAACUGACGCUGAGGCGCGAAAGCGUGGGGAGCAAACAGGGAUUAGAUACCCUGGUAGUCCACGCCGUAAACGAUGAGUGCUAAGUGUUAGGGGGGUUUCCGCCCCCUUAGUGCUGCAGCUAACGCAUUAAGCACUCCGCCUGGGGAUACGGCCGCAAGGCUG
rnacentral:rRNA from 1 species